UACGGAGGGGGCUAGCGUUGUUCGGAAUUACUGGGCGUAAAGCGCACGUAGGCGGCUUGGUAAGUUAGAGGUGAAAGCCCAGGGCUUAACCCUGGAAUUGCCUUUAAGACUGCAUCGCUAGAAUCGUGGAGAGGUGAGUGGAAUUCCGAGUGUAGAGGUGAAAUUCGUAGAUAUUCGGAAGAACACCAGUGGCGAAGGCGACUCACUGGACACGUAUUGACGCUGAGGUGCGAAAGCGUGGGGAGCAAACAGG
rnacentral:rRNA from 1 species